AGGUUGCUUCGGUAACUGACCUAGCGGCGGACGGGUGAGUAAUGCUUAGGAAUCUGCCUAUUAGUGGGGGACAACGUUCCGAAAGGAAUGCUAAUACCGCAUACGCCCUACGGGGGAAAGCAGGGGAUCUUCGGACCUUGCGCUAAUAGAUGAGCCUAAGUCGGAUUAGCUAGUUGGUGGGGUAAAGGCCUACCAAGGUAGACGAUCUGUAGCGGGUCUGAGAGGAUGAUCCGCCACACUGGGACUGAGACACGGCCCAGACUCCUACGGGAGGCAGCAGUGGGGAAUAUUGGACAAUGGGCGCAAGCCUGAUCCAGCCAUGCCGCGUGUGUGAAGAAGGCCUUUUGGUUGUAAAGCACUUUAAGCGAGGAGGAGGCUCCUUUAGUUAAUACCUAAAGAGAGUGGACGUUACUCGCAGAAUAAGCACCGGCUAACUCUGUGCCAGCAGCCGCGGUAAUACAGAGGGUGCGAGCGUUAAUCGGAUUUACUGGGCGUAAAGCGUGCGUAGGCGGCUUUUUAAGUCGGAUGUGAAAUCCCUGAGCUUAACUUAGGAAUUGCAUUCGAUACUGGAAAGCUAGAGUAUGGGAGAGGAUGGUAGAAUUCCAGGUGUAGCGGUGAAAUGCGUAGAGAUCUGGAGGAAUACCGAUGGCGAAGGCAGCCAUCUGGCCUAAUACUGACGCUGAGGUACGAAAGCAUGGGGAGCAAACAGGAUUAGAUACCCUGGUAGUCCAUGCCGUAAACGAUGUCUACUAGCCGUUGGGGCCUUUGAGGCUUUAGUGGCGCAGCUAACGCGAUAAGUAGACCGCCUGGGGAGUACGGUCGCAAGACUAAAACUCAAAUGAAUUGACGGGGGGCCCGCACAAGCGGUGGAGCAUGUGGUUUAAUUCGAUGCAACGCGGAAGAACCUUACCUGGCCUUGACAUACUAAAGAACUUUCC
rnacentral:rRNA from 1 species